rnacentral:pre_miRNA from 1 species
GUAGUUGAUAGUUGGAGCUAGUGUUGUGGUAGUUGAUAGUUGGAGCUAUCCAACUAUCAAAAGCCACAACACUAGCUCCAACUAUCAAGAAUC